UACGGAGGGUGCGAGCGUUAAUCGGAAUUACUGGGCGUAAAGCGCACGUAGGCGGUUUGAUAAGUCGGAUGUGAAAGCCCCGGGCUCAACCUGGGAACUGCAUUCGAUACUGUCAGACUAGAGUAUGGUAGAGGGAAGUGGAAUUCCGGGUGUAGCGGUGAAAUGCGUAGAUAUCCGGAGGAACACCAGUGGCGAAGGCGGCUUCCUGGACCAAUACUGACGCUGAGGUGCGAAAGCGUGGGGAGCAAACAGGAUUAGAUACCCCAGUAGUCC
rnacentral:rRNA from 1 species